rnacentral:rRNA from 1 species
AUUGAACGCUGGCGGAAUGCUUUACACAUGCAAGUCGAACGGUAGAGGGGGCAACCCCUUGAGAGUGGCGAACGGGUGAGUAAUAUAUCGGAACGUGCCCAGUCGUGGGGAUAACGUAGCGAAAGUUACGCUAAUACCGCAUACGAUCUAAGGAUGAAAGCGGGGGAUCGCAAGACCUCGCGCGAUUGGAGCGGCCGAUAUCAGAUUAGGUAGUUGGUGAGGUAAAGGCUCACCAAGCCAACGAUCUGUAGCUGGUCUGAGAGGACGACCAGCCACACUGGAACUGAGACACGGUCCAGACUCCUACGGGAGGCAGCAGUGGGGAAUUUUGGACAAUGGACGCAAGUCUGAUCCAGCCAUUCCGCGUGCAGGAUGAAGGCCCUCGGGUUGUAAACUGCUUUUGUACGGAACGAAACGGUGAGCUCUAAUACAGUUUGCUAAUGACGGUACCGUAAGAAUAAGCACCGGCUAACUACGUGCCAGCAGCCGCGGUAAAGU